GACGAACGCUGGCGGCGUGCUUAACACAUGCAAGUCGAACGGAAAGGCCCUGCUUUUGUGGGGUGCUCGAGUGGCGAACGGGUGAGUAACACGUGAGUAACCUGCCCUUGACUUUGGGAUAACUUCAGGAAACUGGGGCUAAUACCGGAUAGGAGCUCCUGCUGCAUGGUGGGGGUUGGAAAGUUUCGGCGGUUGGGGAUGGACUCGCGGCUUAUCAGCUUGUUGGUGGGGUAGUGGCUUACCAAGGCUUUGACGGGUAGCCGGCCUGAGAGGGUGACCGGCCACAUUGGGACUGAGAUACGGCCCAGACUCCUACGUGAGGCAGCAGUGGGGAAUAUUGCACAAUGGGAGGAAGCCUGAUGCAGCAACGCCGCGUGCGGGAUGACGGCCUUCGGGUUGUAAACCGCUUUCGCCUGUGACGAAGCGUGAGUGACGGUAAUGGGUAAAGAAGCACCGGCUAACUACGUG
rnacentral:rRNA from 1 species